CUUUUCUGUGUUUCAUCCUCUUUCUUUUUGCGAAGAAGCUACUGACGUUCAUCCUCUGUCGUAAUCCAUCUUUUUCUUUUUUCAUUGUUCUUAGUUUUCUCUCUUUCUCUUCACUUCUUAAAGCUAUGCCUACUCUAAUUGAAUUUUGUUUUGUUUAAAGAUUUGAGAAGUUAUGAAACGGAAAGGUCUCCGGUGUGGAGAGGGAGCUUCGGUGUGGCUCCUCAAAUCGCGGCGUGGAAGGAGGAGGAGAGGAAGCUUCGAUGUGGCUCUACCUCAUCUCGUCGUCACCUCUCUCCACUUCAUCUCCGGUCAUCAAGUUCUUCUCAGCCUCUCUUUGCCAUGAACCUCGCCGUAAGGUGGGUGGCGAGGAGAGGUAGUGGUCGUGAGCUUGAAGACAGAGGAGGUACGACGUCGUGGUGCGGUGGUGGUGGUGCAAGCCGUCUCUGGUCAAUGGACAGUGAAGACAAAGCUUUAGGGUCGUCCCGUCUGAGUUAUCAGCCAGGAAUGGGGAAAGCUGAGAAAGAGCGAAGACAAGGACGUGAGUUAAGGGGCACCGGAGAGCACAGCGGCAGCGGUUUGGAAAAAUAGAUUCUACGUCGUAUUUCAUCUUCUUCUCAGAAAAAUCGGAGGGGAAGAGAUAGAUUAUAUAGUGAUUGCACUAAAUGAUGGAGCUUUAUGGGUCACGAUUUAACGUUACAGAGGAGAAGCUAAAGAGGUGAAAUCGGCUGGGUUUCUCCAAGGAAAAAGAUCAAAAAGAAGUCGAUCAGUCGGCGACGAAAGCGAUUGGUUUCACUGUAGUAGAUGACAUGACAUAAUAUAGUAAUGUGAUUGGUCUAAAUUAAUUUGUGGACAUGGCAUAGCUAAACAUUGAGCUUAUUCUCCUUUUAGUAUUGUAAGAUUUCCUUUGUAUUAUAACUAGUGUUUAGCCCCACGUAUACGGGCAAGGAUUUGUUAA